AUUGAACGCUGGCGGCAGGCUUAACACAUGCAAGUCGAACGAGUGGCGGACGGGUGAGUAAUGCUUGGGAAUCUAGCUUAUGGAGGGGGAUAACUACGGGAAACUGUAGCUAAUACCGCGUACCAUCGGAUGAGCCCAGUUGGGAUUAGCUAGUUGGUGAGGUAAAGGCUCACCAAGACGACGAUCCCUAGCUGGUCUGAGAGGAUGACCAGCCACACUGGGACUGAGACACGUCCCAGACUCCUACGGGAGGCAGCAGUGGGGAAUAGUGCACAAUGGGGGCAACUCUGAUGCAGCCAUGCCGCGUGAAUGAAGAAGGCCUUCGGGUUUUAAAGUUUUUUCGGUGGUGAGGAGUUCUCUACUGAAGAGGCACCGGCUAUGUCCGUGCCAGCAGCCGCGGUAAUAC
rnacentral:rRNA from 1 species